CCGGCUGUACCCGAAGUCAUCGUGCCAAACUCGUCAAACGAGGCACGAAUGCCGAAGGUAUGGCUGGUGAUUGGGAUG
rnacentral:rRNA from 1 species